rnacentral:tRNA from 1 species
UAGCCUAGUGGUUAAGGCUAUGGACCGCUAAUCCGGAGAUGGCGGGCUCGAUUCCCGU